UACGGAGGGUGCGAGCGUUAAUCGGAAUAACUGGGCGUAAAGCGCGCGUAGGUGGUUGAGUCAGUCAGAUGUGAAAGCCCCGGUCUUAACCUGGGAACUGCACCUGAUCCUGCUUGACUAGAGUAGGGUAGCGGGCAGUGGAACUUCCUGUGUAGCGGUGAAAUGCGUAGAUAUAGGAAGGAACACCAGUGGCGAAGGCGACGGCCUGGACUGAUACUGACACUGAGGUGCGAAAGCGUGGGUAGCGAACAGG
rnacentral:misc_RNA from 1 species